ensembl:lncRNA
AGAGAGAAGGUGAAAAGAGAAAAUCUAGACCUCUCCCCUAAAUCCCAAUGGUGUGUUCCAGCAGAAAUGCCUGACAAUAGCUAGGACUGCACCUGUCUGCUGAGGAGUGUGUCCGCAGCCAGCCCCCCGCGCCCGUCAGAACCCACCUCCAGCACGAUGAUGUCGCUGUGACCCCCGGGGCGCACGAGUGAAGAUGCCGCGCACCAAACAGAACCACCCCAAGAACCUGAAAGGUGAGUUCUCCCCCUGGGAACCCGCGCUUCCAGGCCUCACCGGGCCGGUGACGGUUCUGAUCCAGUACCGGCUGGUGCCUCAAGUUCUGGGGUCGCCACGGAAGGCGUUUUGCGUUUGGGUUUGCGUGAGCUCUUUGUAUUUUCGAAGGCUGUAUUAUAUGGAGAAAAAGUGGGUGAUUGUGU